rnacentral:rRNA from 1 species
ACGACGCUGGCGGCGUGCCUAACACAUGCAAGUCGAGCGAGGAGAUCCUCGGGAUGAUCCUAGCGGCGGACGGGUGAGUAACACGUGGGCAACCUGCCUCAUAGAGAGGAAUAGCCUUCCGAAAGGGAGAUUAAUACCUCAUAACAUUGCAGUUUCGCAUGGAACAGCAAUUAAAGGAGCAAUCCGCUAUGAGAUGGGCCCGCGGCGCAUUAGCUAGUUGGUGAGGUAACGGCUCACCAAGGCGACGAUGCGUAGCCGACCUGAGAGGGUGAUCGGCCACAUUGGGACUGAGACACGGCCCAAACUCCUACGGGAGGCAGCAGUAGGGAAUCUUCCGCAAUGGACGAAAGUCUGACGGAGCAACGCCGCGUGAGUGAAGAAGGUUUUUUCCGGAUCGUAAAACUCUGUUGUCAGAGAAGAACAAGUUGGAGAGUAACUGCUCCAGCCUUGACGGUAUCUGACCAGAAAGCCACGGCUAACUACGUGCCAGCAGCAGC